AUUGAACGCUGGCGGCAGGCCUAACACAUGCAAGUCGAGCGGAUGAAGGGAGCUUGCUCCUGGAUUCAGCUGCGGACGGGUGAGUAAUGCCUAGGAAGCUGCCUGGUAGUGGGGGAUAACGUCCGGAAACGGGCGCUAAUACCGCAUACGUCCUGAGGGAGAAAGUGGGGGAUCUUCGGACCUCACGCUAUUAGCUGAGCCUAGGUCGGAUUAGCUAGUUGGUGGGGUAAAGGCCUACCAAGGCGACGAUCCGUAACUGAUCUGAGAGGAUGAUCAGUCACACUGGAACUGAGACACGGUCCAGACUCCUACGGGAGGCAGCAGUAGGGAAUAUUGGGCAAUGGGCGAAAGCCUGAUCCAGCCAUGCCGCGUGUGUGAAGAAGGUCUUCGGAUUGUAAAGCACUUUUAGUUGGGAGGAAGGGCAGUAAGUUUAUACCUUGCUGUUUUGACGUUACCAACAGAAUAAGCACCGGCUAACUACGUG
rnacentral:rRNA from 1 species